rnacentral:rRNA from 1 species
AGAAUCAACGCUGGCGGCGUGCCUAACACAUGCAAGUCGCACGAGAAAGAGGGGGCAACCCCUUGAGUAAAGUGGCGUACGGGUGAGUAACACGUGACUAACCUACCUCCGAAUGGGGAAUAACCUCGGGAAACCGGGGCUAAUACCGCAUAACAUCUACGGAUCAAAGCAGCAAUGCGUUUGGAGAGGGGUCGCGGCUGAUUAGCUAGUUGGUAGGGUAAUGGCCUACCAAGGCGACGAUCA